AGCGCAGGCGGACCGGCAAGUUGGAAGUGAAAACUAUGGGCUCAACCCAUAAAAUUGCUUUCAAAACUGCUGGCCUUGAGUAGUGCAGAGGUAGGUGGAAUUCCCGGUGUAGCGGUGGAAUGCGUAGAUAUCGGGAGGAACACCAGUGGCGAAGGCGACCUACUGGGCACCAACUGACGCUGAGGCUCGAAAGCAUGGGUAGCAAACA
rnacentral:rRNA from 1 species